CCUACGGGAGGCUGCAGUGGGGAAUAUUGCACAAUGGGGGAAACCCUGAUGCAGCGACGCCGCGUGAGUGAAGAAGUAAUUCGUUAUGUAAAGCUCUAUCAGCAGGGAAGAAAAUGACGGUACCUGAGUAAGAAGCCCCGGCUAACUACGUGCCAGCAGCCGCGGUAAUACGUAGGGGGCAAGCGUUAUCCGGAUUUACUGGGUGGAAAGGGAGCGUAGACGGCAGUGCAAGUCUGGAGUGAAAGGCGGGGGCUCAAACCCCGGACUGCUCUGGAAACUGUACGGCUGGAGUGCAGGAGAGGUAAGUGGAAUUCCUAGUGUAGCGGUGAAAUGCGUAGAUAUUAGGAGGAACACCAGUGGCGAAGGCGGCUUACUGGACUGUAACUGACGUUGAGGCUCGAAAGCGUGGGGAGCAAACAGGAUUAGAUACCCCUGUAGUC
rnacentral:rRNA from 1 species